CCCCCGCGUGGCUCGUCGGGUGCUGAUCCACCCCUUCUCCACCCCCGCCCCGUUCACUCCUCUUCUAAAACGGAAGCCUGGCUGUGAGCCCAGGACUCCAUGGCGAGUGCCAUGGGCCUGGGUCCCUAGGCCUGCGGGGGGGGGGGGGGGGUCACACCUCCUGCCGUGGCGUGGACAGAAGACACAGGAUCCUCAGUCUCUUUUCAGACACCAGAGGACCAGAGGAGGUAGCCAGAGGAACGCAUUCUUGCUGGGGACAGAAGCAUGACCAAAGUGAGAGGAGCCUAGGAUGUCAUAGACCCAUUAACCCAGGCUAACCAGAAACUUGGUAAAGAGUGAAUGUAAUACCAGAUGGCUUCUUACUACUCUGUGAGCUAGCCUGGGCUUCUUCACACAAUGGCUUGGUUCCUCAAGAGACAAAAUGAACACUACAGAACCACUAAAGGCUGAGUUUGGAGGCCCCAGAGCGUUCGCUCGGCCACACUCUUCUGGAGAAACUGAGAUCAUAGGCUUCUGCCUCCCUCCAUAAGGAACACCAGUAAGCCACAUUUCCAUGAGAGCCUCUGGCCACCACAGCUGCUUUGCCCCAAGACAGCAAGCCAUGUCCGAUGGGAGGACAUCUUAUUUCCUGGGCCCUGUACAAGACCAUUUGUCUGGAAUCUUCUUCUUCAGAAUAAACUCUUAUUGG